UACGUAGGUGGCAAGCGUUGUCCGGAUUUACUGGGCGUAAAGAGCGCGCAGGCGGUCGGAUUAGUCGCGUGUGAAAGCCCCCGGCUCAACUGGGGAGGGUCACGCGAUACUGUUCGACUCGAAGGCAGGAGAGGGAAGUGGAAUUCCCGGUGUAGUGGUGAAAUGCGUAGAUAUCAUGAGGAAUACCAGAGGCGAAGGCGGCUCCCUGGACAAUUGCUGACACUCAGGCAACGAAAGCAUGGGGAGCGAACAGG
rnacentral:rRNA from 1 species